CUAUCUUUAACUUAAUCUCUCAGAAACCAAACCUAUUAUCCAUCCUUAAAUGCUCAUCCUCCAUGAUUGGUAUCCCACCAGUUUAACCAUGCAACCAUUAAUCCUACCUUGCAGUUUUGCUGUCUAUCUUUCCCUCUCUUUUUUCAGGCCUCUCCCUCCACAAAGUUAGUCGAUUUCCUAAUCCUGUCACUUCCAUUUAAAAUAUGACUCACAUCCACCACUUACUGACACCUAGUAAAACUAUAAUACUUAUACAUGCUCUAGGUAUGUAUCCCAUUAACAAAACUCACUGCUCGUUGG